AUGAAUGUGGAUGCGGCUGUAUCCCAGCAAGGGGAGUUUGGUGCCGUGGGAGCAGUGUGCCGAGACCACAGGGGAGUUUUCUUGGGUGCUUCGAUCUUAAAACUCGAGUUUAUCACGGAUGUGAGCACACUAGAAGCAAUAGCAGUAAGGGAAGGCCAAUCUCUGGCUGAGGAUUUAUAUGAGAAUUCCAUUCAAAUCGCUACAGACUGCAAGCGAGUGGUUGAAGAUGUGCGGAAGAACUCGGCGGCUGGCUAUGGAGCUAUAGUGCAUGAAAUAAUACUUCGUGCAAACUCUUUCCAAUCAUGUAAAGUAGUUCAUGAGUUUAGGAGCUCGAAUUUUGAGGCUCACAAUCUUGCUAGAUAUGCUUUGUCCUUAGAUUUUGGUCGUCAUGUAUGGCUAGGACAACCAGGAGAUCUUGAUUUUAUUCCUAUAAACAUUAUGGGCGAUGAAUAA
rnacentral:rRNA from 1 species